CCUACGGGAGGCAGCAGUGGGGAAUUUUGGACAAUGGGGGCAACCCUGAUCCAGCCAUGCCGCGUGAGUGAAGAAGGCCUUCGGGUUGUAAAGCUCUUUCGGCCGGAACGAAAUCGCGCACGUGAAUAACGUGCGUGGAUGACGGUACCGGAGUAAGAAGCACCGGCUAACUACGUGCCAGCAGCCGCGGUAAUACGUAGGGUGCGAGCGUUAAUCGGAAUUACUGGGCGUAAAGCGUGCGCAGGCGGUUCGCUAAGUCAGACGUGAAAGCCCCGGGCUUAACCUGGGAACGGCGUUUGAAACUGGCGGGCUCGAGUACGGCAGAGGGGGGUGGAAUUCCACGUGUAGCAGUGAAAUGCGUAGAUAUGUGGAGGAACACCGAUGGCGAAGGCAGCCCCCUGGGCCGAUACUGACGCUCAUGCACGAAAGCGUGGGGAGCAAACAGGAUUAGAUACCCUGGUAGUCCACGCCCUAAACUAUGUCAACUAGUUGUCGGGGAAGCAAUUCCUUGGUAACGCAGCUACGACGUGAGUAGUACCGCCGNGGGAGGUACGGUCGCGAGAGUAAACUACUAAUAGUAAGUUAGUUACGGUCGUUGAGAGUUGCCGACGGCGACGACGAGGGAGGAGG
rnacentral:rRNA from 1 species